rnacentral:rRNA from 1 species
GUGCCAGCAGCUGCGGUUAUACAAAAAAUGUAAGUAAAUUAUAUUAAUUUUAGUUAGGUUGUUUAUUUAUUUAAUUUUAUAAGACUUUUUAGGUGAAAUUUUAAGUUUUUUUAAUUAAUAAUUAAAUUUAAAUUGAAGCUAAUAAAUCUUAAUAAUAAACUAGGAUUAGAUACCCUAUUAUUUAAGAUGUAAAUUUAUUAAUAUUAGAGUAGUAAUAGUUAAGGUCUUGAAACUCAAAAAAUUUGGCGGUAUUUUAGACUAUUCAGAGGAAUCUGUAGUGUAAUCGAUAAUCCACGAUGGACCUAACUUAAACUUGUUUAUCAGUUUGUAUACCGCCGUUAUUUGAAGAUUUUAUAAGAAUAAUAAUUUUCAUAAUUUUUUAUAAAAAAGUAAAUCAGGUCAAGGUGCAGCUUAUGUUUAAGUAUUUAUGGAUUACAAUAAAUUUAUUUAAACGGAUAAUAGUUUGAAAAAAUUAUUUGAAGGUGGAUUUGAGAGUAAAUUUUUAAAGAUUGUAAAAUUGAUUUUAGCUCUAAAAUAUG